CUUGAUUUCGAAGGAGAGGGACAGCCUGCACAAAACAGCCUGUGGUCGAGUCAGAGGAGCCUGCUCCAGAAUGCGCGCUCCCUCUCCUGCACUCCUCCCAGCAAACGCAGGUCUCUGAAGAUGUUCUCUGAAGAUGUGAAAAAUAUUAUUAGAGCCUCGAUGGGAUGGAUUGAAACCCCUCUAAAGGUGGUGUGACUAAAAAAGAAGUUUCAAUACAGACUCAAGAAAUAGAACCUGCAGAGCAUCUGUCAGCAUGUGAACGAGGAGCAGCUGAAGAGCCAAGAGAAAAAGAAUCUGAGCCAAUGUAGGCCCAAGUGUUCCAGUGCAUGGAAGAGACUCCAAAGCUGGCCAGGAGACAGAACUAACUUUCUGGUGCCUUUGAGGAAAGUGACAGAGGAGAUGCCAAAGUCACAAAGUACCCGACCCAGCAAACGUGCGUGUAUAGGGGCCGCCAUGUGAAACAUUCAGCGGAAGCCAUGAUCUGACAGAACAUGAAUUCACUGACCCCUGAAGGAACCAGGGAGAGCUGAAAGACUGGCUAUCCAUGAUCUGGAAAGAUAUCUGCAGCAGCCACCGUCCUCUGCUAAUCCUGCAGACCAGCGUCCUCACCUCCUCUGAGGGGAUUCCCCACUCCACCCGCCCUUAGGCUCUUGUCUGUGCUUUGCUUUAGUGGGCGCCAAAGUGCAAUUUCAUGUCUUGCACAAAUGGAAGAUUGACUAUUUGUUGUUGAACUGAAAUAGCUUACAUGAUUCUGAACAAAACAACUUUUAAAAAUUAAAGCCUACAGAGCAAAAUGAAACUACAAAUCAGAAUGGCCAUGGGGACAGACACUCAGAAGAGUGGCCUGCAUGGGAUUUUUGUUGUUGUUUUCUUUUUUGUUUUGUUUUCUGAAAAGACAGGGUGCUGACCUUGCCAGGGGCUGCGGGAUUCGCCAGGGCCUAGACGCAAUUUAGUUCCAUAUGAGUCAAACAAUGUAUUAGAACUUUUUUGGGGAAUUUUCCAUUUGAGAAAUAUUUUUUUUUCUAUAAAUAGUCCAUGAAACAAAAUUUCAAAAUCAUAAUGAGACUUCUCUAAUCAAAUCUGUCUCCUAAAAUCAGAAUUCAUUUUGGCAGCUCUCUUGACAACAGCAGCACAAUCUGCCACCUGGCCCUGAUGUGCCUGGGACUCUGUGCAUCCCUGUAGGGAACAGCUUAGCUAAGCCGCCAUUUUGGAAAUGGUCCCCCUUUCAUCAGAGUAUAACAGAUUUUUACAUUACACAAGGAAAGAGGAGAAAUCAUAUAGCUUUCUUAGAGACAGAUGCCCUCUCCAAUGUAUUCCAAAUUCAGUUCAUCUGAAAAUAUAUUUAACCUGCUUAUAAUUCCAUAGGGCAUUGGGUCAUAACCGGAACCCUUCUGAAGAAAGAGGACUACACUUUGUGAAGCUAUAUACUUGAAAGAAAUGUCAGUGUAAUGGCUUCAUUCUUUUUGAGACUCCAUUACAAGGUACUCCAAGGCCAAGUUUCUGGACAUCUCUGGAAAUGUCUUAUUGGCUAUCAGAGCAAGCAAGCAGUGUAGGCAUGCCUAUUGCUGGUUCUGUAGGAAGGAGCUAUGAGGAGGUUUGGGUUAUCCUAGACCAACUAUGUUGUCAGAGAAAUUCUCAGUAUUCAAGAAAAGACUACAUAGCAAGGUGUUUCAGUCCUAUAGAAACUGAGAUCUGGGAUGUUCUGAGACUAGUUGAAUAUUUAAAUCAAGACAUUACACUUAAUGAAAGCCUAUUGGAUUUUCAAAACAAGGUCCCUGACUUCCCUUAAACUUCUCCCACAUUAGAUAUUAUAGUCGCUGAAUACAAAUAUUAUUUAAGGUUGGCUCAGUGCUGUGAGAACUAUGUUGCUGGAACAAACAGAUCAUGAGAGCUCUAGAAUGUUUAUUUUCCUCGUGAUGAUUUAGAUCAGAUUUAGAUCAGGGUUGACAGGACUGCCUUUAUUUGGGGAUACAGAUACUUAAGAAGAUUUCAUUUCUAUCAUAGUUAAUGCAGUUUUUUUCUUAAUGCUUCCACUUUAUAAAGUGAGAAAAAUCUGUUUUCUUCCUGAGAACAAAGGUGUCAUGUCCAUCCCUCACCCUCCAGACACCCCAGGUUCUUUUAAGUUGUGCGUCAAAUCAUCAUAGCUCCCUGCAACAAGCCCUAUUUAAAAAAAAAGGAUUUGCGUGUUUUCGAUUUAUUUUUGAGGUUAUAAUAUAAUGACAUCAUUUUCCUCCUCCAUUUUCUCUUUUCAAAUUCUCCUUGUUCUUUUUUCAAAUUUAUGGUUUCUUUUCUCACUAAUCUCUGUUACGUGCAUUUAUGUCUAUGUAAAUAUAUAGGUAUUGAUAAACAUAACCUAGUCUGUAAAAUGCAACAUGUAUGUAUGCUUUCAGGCCUGACUCUUUGGUAGGUGUGCUCCUCCCUGGGGAAGACUCUUUCUCUCACUGUCAACAUUCCUUAGUUGUCUGUAGUUCUUUGUGUAGAGUUGAGGCCUCCUGGUCUUUCCCUCACUCCCCUUCGGUAUAUCCUUUACUGUCAUCCAUGUUAAACUAAUGUUUAAGCAGUCAUGUUGGUGAGACUUCACGGGUGUAGCUCCUGACAUUAUUAGAAGACAGAGCCUUAGAGAAAACUCCCUGAUCCUCUCUCUAGCUCUUACACUAUUUCCUCUUCCACAAUAUUCCCUGAGACUUAGGUGAAGGAGUGCUUUGGAGAUGUAAACGUUGGGACGAGGCUCCACAGUUCUCCAUUUUGAGUGGUUGUGGUUUUCAUUUCCAAAAUAUUUAUUUAUUAUUAUUAUUGUUAUUAUUAUUAUUUACAACCUAUUCACUUGUAUCCCAGUUGUAGCCCCCUCCCUCAUCCCUCCCAAUCCCACCCUCUUUUCUGCUCCCUCCCCUCCCCCUCUCCCCUAGUCCACUGAUAAGGGAAGUCCUCCUUCCCUACUGGCUGACCCUAGCCUAUCAGGUCCCAUCGGGACUGCCUGGCUCCUCUUUCUCUGUGGGCUGGCUAGGUUGCCCCACCAGGAAGAAGUGAUCAAGGAGCAGGCAACAGAGUUCCUGUCAAAGACUGUCUCUUCUCCUCUCACUAGGGAACCCACAUGGAGUCUGAGCUGUCUAAAGGCUACAUCUGAGGAGAGGGUCUAGGUCCUCUCUAUGUAUGGUUUUUGGCUGCUACAUCAGUCUCUGCAGUCCCCCCUGGGCCCUCCUUUUUUUUUUUUUUUUUCUUUGUUGGUCUCCUUGUAUGGAUCCUGUUCCCUCUGGUCCUUUUAUAUCCCCCUUCUUCCAUGAGACUCCCUGUGCUCUGUCCAAAGUUUGGCUAUGAGUCUGUGCAUAUGCUUCAAUCCCCUGUUGGUUGGAGUCUUUCAGAGGACAUCUGUGGUAGGCUCCAGUCAUUUCCUAACUUCUACUGCUUCCAGUGUCUAUCCUGUUUUCCUUCUGAAUGAGAAUUAAGAAUCUUCCCUAGAAUCCUUCUUGUCAUUUAGCUUCUUUAGAUCUGUAGAUUUUAGUAUGUUUAUCCUAUAUAAUAUGACUGAUAUACACUUACAAAUGAGUAUACACCAUGUAUGUCUUUCUGCUUCUGUGAUACCUCACUCAGGAUGAUUUUUUUCUAGUUCCAUCAUCCAUUUGCCUGCAAAGUUCAUUAUUUCCUUGUUUUUAAUGGUUGAGUAGUAUUCCAGUGUGUAAAUGUACCACAAUUUCUGUAUCUAUUCUUCAGGUGAGGGGCAUCUAGGUUGUUUCCAGAUUCUGGCAAUUACAAAUAAAACUGCUAUGAACAUAGUAGAGCAAAUGUCCUCAUUGUAUGGUUGAACAUCUUUUGUAUCUAUGCUUAGCUAUGGUAUUUUGAGGUAGCACUUUUCUCAGUUUUCUAAGAAAUACUUAGAAAUAUUUGUUAUUAAAAAGAGUAAUAGAGUAGGAAGUCAUGACUUUGGAUUGGGGAGGGAUUCGUUCUUUAAACCCUUAGGAGGUCAACUUAGUCUAUUCAGAUAAAGUAGCAAACAGGAAACAGGAAACUUGUGGCUGAAAUCCCAGCUAUUUUAUAACAGAGUCUCCCCAGAUCUUUUAAGACAGAGUCUCACUAUUGUAGCCAUGGCUGGCCUGAAACACACUAUGUAGACCAAGCAAGCCUUGAAUUUACAAAGAUCUGCCUCUCCUCCAAGAACUGAGAUUAAAGA